GGAGAGGUCGUAUAACGGUUAUUACAAGAGUUUGCUAAACUCUGACUGCGCAAGCGGUCUUGUGGGUUCGAAUCCCACCCUCUCCG
rnacentral:tRNA from 1 species